rnacentral:piRNA from 1 species
UCGGCCAAUUGUGUUGGUCCUUCCCCCUGC